rnacentral:lncRNA from 1 species
GACAUCUGUUAUCUCCUGUGUGGGAUGUAUGUGGGUCCGGAGCUCCGUCAUUAAACUACCUCUUGUAAUUACAUCAAGGCCUUUUCGUGAUUCUUUAGGUGCCUGCCAAAUCGGGAAUUGAGUGGGGGUUUCCCUGCUAGGUUCUAUCAUUUGGAGGUCCCACUGAGAUCUGCGUGACACCCAGGAACCCGGAAAGACCCCUUGGAGGCGACCCCUCCCUGAGAUGCUGGCAGUGAGUCUGUUCCAAGCUCCAGUGAGGGAGGCAUCCGCCCACUUGGGGCUUCUGUCCAAGGAGGGCAAUAUGAAUAAGUUGAAGCCUCCAAGGGGACAAAGGAGAAAGGUUCUUGUGUGACAGGAAGUCCUUGAACCAGUGUGGUGAGAGAAUGAAGAAAAGGUGACCAAAUGUUGUUCUGACUCUCCCUGACACGGUUUGGAUCCAGAACCCAGCCGACUUCCUAAUAUACCGGUUUUUUGAAUAAAGAAACUUUUGUUGGCUCGAA